CCUACGGGCGGCAGCAGUGGGGAAUCUUUCGCAAUGGGGGAAACCCUGACGAAGCGACGCCGCGUGUAGGAUGAAGGCCUUCGGGUUGUAAACUACUGUCAGCUGGGAAGAAAGGUUUCCGGUUAAUAACCAGAAACCAUGACGGUACCAGCAGAGGAAGCCACGGCUAACUCUGUGCCAGCAGCCGCGGUAAUACAGAGGUGGCGAGCGUUGUUCGGAUUUAUUGGGCGUAAAGCGUCCGUAGGCCGCUUGGAAAGUUGGAUGUGAAAUCCUGCAGCUUAACUGCAGAACUGCAUUCAAAACUCCCAGGCUAGAGGAUGAGAGGGGUAGAGGGAAUUCCCGGUGUAAGGGUGAAAUCUGCAGAGAUCGGGAAGAACACCAGUCGCGAAGGCGCUCUACUGGCUCAUAUCUGACGCUGAGGGACGAAAGCUAGGGGAGCAAACGGGAUUAGAUACCCUGGUAGUC
rnacentral:rRNA from 1 species